GAGAAAAAUACAUGGCUCAGAACCAACCCCAACGGCGAGGAUUAGGCAUGCAAGUCGAGAGAGAACCAGUCUUGGGGGGGGGGACAGCGGCGAAAAAAAAGGGGGUGCCUCGGUGNCGUNCCAACAGCACGGAAAAAGCGGCGGGAAACUGCCGGUAAUACCCGAUGAUCUGCCCAAGUUUUACGACAGGGGCAGCAAAGGUGAAAAAAAAUCGGGGGAGCGGCUGAGGUCGUAUUAGCUAGUUGGUAGGGUGAUGGCUUACCAAGGCGAUGAUGCGUAGGGGGUGUGAGAGCAUGGCCCCCACCACUGGCAAAAAGACACUGGCCAGACACCUACGGGUGGCUGCAGUCGAGAAUGGUCGGCAAUGGGCGCAAGCCUGACCGAGCGACGCCGCGUGCGGGAUGAAGGUCUUCGGAUUGUAAACCUCUGUAGGGGGGGAUGAAGUGCAUCGGGGUGCUCCCUGGUUUUAAAGGGGCCUCGGAGGAAGCACGGGCUAAGUUCGUGCCAGCAGCCGCG
rnacentral:rRNA from 1 species